rnacentral:tRNA from 1 species
CAGAUGGCACAGUGGUUAAAGUGCUUGGCUGAUAACCAAAAGGUCGGCGGUUUGAAUCCACCGUCUG